UACGUAGGGUGCGAGCGUUAAUCGGAAUUACUGGGCGUAAAGCGUGCGCAGGCGGUUCGUUGUGUCGGCGGUGAAAGCCCCGGGCUUAACCUGGGAAUGGCCGUUGAAACUGGCGAACUGGAGUGUGGCAGAGGGGGGUGGAAUUCCACGUGUAGCAGUGAAAUGCGUAGAGAUGUGGAGGAAUACCGAUGGCGAAGGCAGCCCCCUGGGAUGAUACUGACGCUCAUGCACGAAAGCGUGGGGAGCAAACAGG
rnacentral:rRNA from 1 species